AGAGUUUGAUCAUGGCUCAGAACGAACGCUGGCGGCGUGCCUAACACAUGCAAGUCGAGCGAGAAAGGGGCUUCGGCUCCGAGUAAAGCGGCGCACGGGUGCGUAACACGUGGGUAAUCUUCCUCCGGGUUGGGAAUAACUCUUCGAAAGGAGAGCUAAUACCGAAUAAGCCCACGUCCCCUUCGGGGGACGAGGGAAAAGGUGGCCUCUGCAUGCAAGCUAUCGCCUGGAGAUGAGCCCGCGGCCCAUCAUGCUAGUUGGCGGGGUAACGGCCCACCAAGGCUACGACGGGUAGCUGGUCUGAGAGGACGAUCAGCCACACUGGAACUGAGACACGGUCCAGACUCCUACGGGAGGCAGCAGUGGGGAAUCUUGCGCAAUGGGCGAAAGCCUGACGCAGCAACGCCGCGUGAGUGAUGAAGGCCUUCGGGUCGUAAAGCUCUUUCAGGAGGGACGAAACCGCUCCGGGAUAACAAACCGGAGCCUUGACGGUACCUUCAGAAGAAGCACCGGCUAACUCUGUGCCAGCAGCCGCGGUAAUACAGAGGGUGCAAGCGUUGUUCGGAAUUAUUGGGCGUAAAGCGCGUGUAGGCGGCAAGGCAUGUCGGGUGUGAAAGCCCUCGGCUUAACCGAGGAAGUGCGCCCGAAACUAUCUUGCUUGAGUACCGGAGAGGAUGGCGGAACUCCCGGUGUAGAGGUGAAAUUCGUAGAUAUCGGGAAGAACACCAGUGGCGAAAGCGGCCAUCUGGACGGAUACUGACGCUGAGACGCGAAAGCGUGGGGAGCAAACAGGAUUAGAUACCCUGGUAGUCCACGCCGUAACGAUGGGCACUAGGUGUCGUGGGUGUUGACCCCCGCGGUGCCGUAGCUAACGCAUUAAGUGCCCCGCCUGGGAAGUACGGCCGCAAGGCUAAAACUCAAAGGAAUUGACGGGGG
rnacentral:rRNA from 1 species